GGGUUGUGAGGUUAAGCGACUAAGCGUACACGGUGGAUGCCCUGGCAGUCAGAGGCGAUGAAGGACGUGCUAAUCUGCGAUAAGCGUCGGUAAGGUGAUAUGAACCGUUAUAACCGGCGAUUUCCGAAUGGGGAAACCCAGUGUGAUUCGUCACACUAUCAUUAACUGAAUCCAUAGGUUAAUGAGGCGAACCGGGGGAACUGAAACAUCUAAGUACCCCGAGGAAAAGAAAUCAACCGAGAUUCCCCCAGUAGCGGCGAGCGAACGGGGAGGAGCCCAGAGCCUGAAUCAGUGUGUGUGUUAGUGGAAGCGUCUGGAAAGGCGCGCGAUACAGGGUGACAGCCCCGUACACAAAAAUGCACAUGCUGUGAGCUCGAUGAGUAGGGCGGGACACGUGGUAUCCUGUCUGAAUAUGGGGGGACCAUCCUCCAAGGCUAAAUACUCCUGACUGACCGAUAGUGAACCAGUACCGUGAGGGAAAGGCGAAAAGAACCCCGGCGAGGGGAGUGAAAAAGAACCUGAAACCGUGUACGUACAAGCAGUGGGAGCACAGAGCAAUCUGUGUGACUGCGUACCUUUUGUAUAAUGGGUCAGCGACUUAUAUUCUGUAGCAAGGUUAACCGAAUAGGGGAGCCGAAGGGAAACCGAGUCUUAAC
rnacentral:rRNA from 1 species